GACUCUCGGGCCGCCUCCUGAACAUGUGUUGCCUUCAUUAUUUUCCAAUGACCUUUGGUUUUAUUUUGUGUUCCGAGACCCACCUUCUUUCUUACUUGGCGACCAUGUGGCAGAGGGCUAGGUACCGUGUGAUGUUCAGAUCCACCCACGGAGGGUCCAGUCUCGGUGGCUGGCGCACACAGGACCUCAUGUUUACCACUGGGUUGUGGGACCAGAACUUAUCCUUCCCUCCUGGACUUCGCUCCUCCUGAGCAAACGUCUCCUUCCCUGCCCACCCAGCUCGGCCUCUGGAAACCACCAGGCGACUCUGCUCCUAAGAGACCAAGGCUGUGUUCAGCGCACAGCGUCACGUGCAGGGCCUUUCUGAGUUGCUGAGGCUGGCCUUGAACUUGUGAUCCUCCUGCCUCAGCCUCCAAGUUGCUGGGAUGACAAGUGCGAGCCCAUCUACUCUUUCUUUUUAAAAGCUGAAUCGCGUUCUGCUGUGGUCUGCACCACAUUUUCAAGUCCGUUCCUCUGCACACGAACACAGGGUCAUUCAGUAGGGGACAGGGACCCUCUGUGCUCCCUGCAGUUCUUCUGUGGUCCUUCAGCUAGAGCUGGUCACGGGAAAAAUAAAUAAAACUUCCAGUAAGUCUGUGUGUCCACGAGGUCUUCACAAGACAGGGAAGUCUGAAGGAGCGCCCCAGGUGGGGUCCUGCCCAGACCCAGAGCCGGGGUCUCA